rnacentral:RNase_P_RNA from 1 species
GACAGAGGGAGCCCGACUCCCGUGCCCCUGGCAUGAGGAAAGUCCCCCCACCGGCCGGACAGGCGACCGGGCACACGCCCGGAGUCGGAGACGGCUGGCUCUGGAACAGCAACGACACCCCCCGCCCCGACCGAUGACCCGUGCGAACCGACCCGCGAGGGAAGGGAGUUAACCCGGGGAGGGCGCGUGGCUUUGUCACGUUACAGACGGGCGGGAACGGAUGGAACGGCGAAUCCUCGCCGGUGCAAGUCCGCGCCACAAGGUAGUCCGGCCACGGCGCGGACGCUCAGCCGAAUGUCGGGACGAACCGAAGGGGGCUUACUCCCCUCAGUC